CUUUCCCGUUAAAAUAGGACACAGUAUCACAACCUGUGAAGGCAUGGAACAGGGGGAGGACUUUCGCUUUUUGUGGCCCUGUAAAAGAAAAUAAUAUGUUUUAUAUAGCCCGCCUAGUACCUGAGCUAGAAGAGCUGUGGGUACACGUAGGUACUGGUAAACACCACCAGUACCUUCCUUGUCACGAAAUAGCAAAAACUCUAGGUAAAAAAUAAUUAUAAAUUGUAUUUAUCUACGUUACGCCCUAGCCACUAGCUAGAAUAGAAUAGAAUGCACUGAGAUUAUAACGCUAGGCGGGCUAUAUAAAACAUAUUAUUUUCUUUUACAGGGCCACAAAAAGCGAAAGUCCUCCCCCUGUUCCAUGCCUUCACAGGUUGUGAUACUGUGUCCUAUUUUAACGGGAAAGGAAAAAAAAGUGCAAUAGAUGCAUGGAACGCAUUUCCCAAUGCCACAGAAGGGUUUCUGGCAGCAUAUGAGGGGAGUACUAGCGAGGCGUUUACAGUAAUCGAAAAGUUUGUCGUCAUUUUAUAUGACAGAGCCAGUUCAUUUACAACCGUAAACGAAGCCCGAAAGCACCUAUUCUCGAAAAAAGACCGCCAAUUGGAGAAUAUACCUCCGACGAAAGCUGCUCUAUACCAGCAUUUCCUGCAGGCAGUGUUCCAAGCAGUCCAUGUAUGGGGUCAGAUGUCACCGAAUCAAAAUCUUCCCUGUCCAUCUAACUGGGGAUGGAGAAAAGUCAGUGAAAGCUGGCAACCUACAUGGACAGACUUGCCCGUAGCUGCAGAUGCAUGCCUGGAAAUGAUCCGGUGCAGAUGCAAAAAGAGGUGCGGCGGCUCGAGGUGCCGGUGCUUUCAGCGGCAACUUAAGUGCACGGAGCUUUGCGAUUGUGGGGGACAAUGUAAAUAAUAAACAUUUUUAAGUAAAAUUCUA